CUCCCCGGCUCCUCGGCACCGCCUCCCCUCGCCUACUCACCUCCUCGCCGCCGCCUUCCUCCCUUUCCUGCUCCCCGCCGUCGCCCUCUCUCUACAUCGAACACCACCCGACCGACUCCCCCACCGUGCUCCUCAUCCCCAUCCGCCACCGCCGCCGCCGCUUGUGCCAUGGGGGCCGCUACCUCGCCGCCCUCUUCCUCCUUGCGCUCGCUGGCUUCCUCCUCAGGCCCGCUGACCCGGAUGUCAGCCUGGGGCAGGGGCGGCGCAAGGUGGCCGAGCAGCACGGGGCGGGAUCAGCUCAGUAGCGGCGGCGCAAAGGGCACAAGAACUCAAACUUAUCCAAGCUGCGGGGUGAGCAAGAAUACGAGGGAAGAUGAUGGUGGCGCGGCCCCUCUCAGCUCUCUCCUCAGAUCUGUUAAGGUGGCAAGGAACCACGACAAGCCCACGCUCGAGCAGGCCCAGGUGCUUCCCCAUGACAACUCUGCUGCGAGCGGCAGUUUCCUUCCCUCCCACCUUAGACUUGGUGAGAUAUUCGUCCUGCACUCUGUCACUCUCUCUUAUUCCUUUUUAAUUCUUUUCAUCCUUCCAUUUUGUUUAGAUUAGAUUCGUCCAUGUUUCUUUUUUGGAUGUAGCGAACCAUUCAAAUAAGACAUGAGAUCAGAUGACAAAGAGCAUAAUACAAGUUGCUGCUCCAAGAAGAACAAGGGGAGAGAACACAAAUUUCUCUCACGGGUCUUGAUUUCACCCAUCAAUUGCGUCCUGUGAGAGGAAUAUUGAUAACCGAGGCUGCUUGUUUCGAUUUCCUCCUCUAUGACCUGAUCUGAUUGCUUGAUGAUUUAAUUUUCAAUCUUACAGUUCAUACUUCAAAGUUCAUGAUUUUGGUUAAGCGAUUUAAUGCCAGGUUUUUGCAAUGCUUGAAUAGGGUUCCAUGUUAGCUACCUUUGUAGGGAUAAUCCUAUAGGUUUAGUUUGUAGAACUUCUACAUGUGACCUUUACUUCCAUUACGCUCAAGUCACAUAUUGUAAACCGAAAGCGUAACUGUUUUUUUUUGUCAGGCUCAAAACCAUACUAGUAGCCUUUUGUUCCAAACCUCAAAAUGUGUUCUUGCUACAUGGAUUUAAAAUGAAGGGAACAACUAGGACAUAGAAUUCAAAUUAUCAAAUGUUUCUUUGUACAAUCAGAGUAAUAAAAGUAUAAAAUUGAUCUCA